UGGGAUCCGAGGCCAUCUUUCUGAGUGCU
rnacentral:piRNA from 1 species